GGUCGCGUAUUUCAGUUGGUUUAGAAUCUUGUACUAAUAGUUGCUGUUCAAGCAAAUUAGUUAUGCAAUUGUCGGCGGUUCGAGCCCGUCCGUGAUCA